UACGUAGGCAGCGAGCGUUGUUCGGAAUUAUUGGGCGUAAAGCGCGUGUAGGCGGCUUUGCAAGUCGGGCGUGAAAGCCCUCAGCUUAACUGAGGAAGUGCGCCCGAAACUGCUUGGCUUGAGUACCGGAGAGGAUGGCGGAAUUCCCCAAGUAGAGGUGAAAUUCGUAGAUAUGGGGAGGAACACCGGUGGCGAAGGCGGCCAUCUGGACGGAUACUGACGCUGAGACGCGAAAGCGUGGGUAGCAAACAGG
rnacentral:rRNA from 1 species